ensembl:lncRNA
UUUUUUUUUCUUUCUUUUUUUAAAUUUAUUUAUUUAUUAUUAUUAUUAUUAUACUUUAACUUCUAGGGUACAUGUGCAUAAGGUGCAGGUUUGUUACAUAUGUAUACUUGUGCCAUGUUGGUGUGCUGCACCCAUCAACUCAUCAGCACCCAUCAACUUGUCAUUUACAUCAGGUAUAACUCCCAAUGCAAUCCCUCCCUCCUCCCCCCUCCCCGUGAUAGGCCCCGGUGUGUGAUGUUCCCCUUCCCGAGUCCAACUGAUCUCAUUGUUCAGUUCCCACCUAUGAGUGAGAACAUGUGGUGUUUGGUUUUCUGUUCUUGGGAUACUUUGCUAAGAAUGAUGGUUUCCAGCUGCAUCCAUGUCCCUACAAAGGACACAAACUCAUCCUUUUUGAUGGCUGCAUAGUAUUCCAUGGUGUAUAUGUGCCACAUUUUCUUAAUCAAGUCUGUCACUGAUGGACAUUUGGGUUGAUUCCAAGUCUUUGCUAUUGUGAAUAGUGCUGCAAUAAACAUACGUGUGCAUGUGUCUUUAUAGCAGCAUGAUUUAUAAUCCUUUGGGUAUAUCCCCAGUAAUGGGAUGGCUGGGUGAUAUGGUACUUCUAGUUCUAGGUCCUUGAGGAAUCGCCAUACUGUUUUCCAUAGUGGUUGAACUAGUUUACAAUCCCACCAACAGUGUAAAAGUGUUCCUAUUUCUCCACAUCCUCUCCAGCACCUGUUGUUUCCUGACUUUUGAAUGAUUGCCAUUCUAACUGGUGUGAGAUGGUAUCUCAUUGUGGUUUUGAUUUGCAUUUCUCUGAUGGCCAGUGAUGAUGAGCAUUUUUUCAUGUGUCUGUUGGCUGUAUGAAUGUCUUCUUUGAGAAAUGUCUGUUCAUAUCCUUUGCCCACUUUUGGAUGGGGUUGUUUGAUUUUUUCUUGUAAAUUUGACUGAGUUCUUUGUAGGUUCUGGAUAUUAGCCCUUUGUCAGAUGAGUAGAUUGUAAAAAUUGUCUCCCAUUCUGUAGGUUGCCUGUUCACUCUAUGGUAGUUUAUUUUGCUGUGCAGAAGCUCUUUAAUUUAAUUAGAUCCCAUUUGUCAAUUUUGGCUUUUGUUGCCAUUGUUUUUGGUGUUUUAGACAUGAAGUCCUUGCCCAUGCCUCUGUCCUGAAUGGUACUACCUUGGUUUUCUUCUAGGGUUUUUAUGGUUUUAGGUCUAACAUUUAAAUCUCUAAUCCAUGUUGACUUAAUUUUCAUAUAAGGAAUAAGGAAAGGAUCCAGUUUCAGCUUUCUACUCAUGGCUAGUCAAUUUUCCCAGCACCAUUUAUGAAAUAGGGAAUCCUUUCCCCAUUUCUUGUUUUUGUCAGGUUUGUCAAAGAUUAGAUGGCUGUAGAUGUGUGGUAUUAUUUCUGAGGACUCUGUUCUAUUCCAUUGGUCUAUAUCUCUGUUUUGGUACCAGUACCAUGCUGUUUUGGUUACUGGUGUAUAAGAAUGCUUGUGAUUUUUGCACAUUGAUUUUGUAUCCUGAGACUUUGCUGAAGUUGCUUAUCAGCUUAAGGAGAUAUUGGACUGAGAUAAUGGGGUUUCCUAAAUAUACAAUCAUGUCAUCUGCAAACAGGGACAAUUUGACUUCUUCUUUUCCUGACUGAAUACCCAUUAUUUCUUUCUCUUGCCUGAUUUCCCUAGACAGAACUUCCAACACUAUGUUGAAUAGGAGUGGUGAGAGAGGGCAUCCUGUCUUGUGCCAGUUUUCAAAGAGAAUGCUUCCAGUUUUUGCCCAUUCAGUAUGACGUUGGCUGUGGGUUUGUCAUAAAUAGCUCUUACUAUUUCAAGAUACGUUCCGUCAAUACCGAAUUUAUUGAGAGUUUUUAGCAGGAAGGGCUAUUGAAUUUUAUCAAAGGCCUUUUCUGCAUCUAUUGAGAUAAUCAUAUAGUUUUUGCCUUUGGUUCUGUUUGUAUGCUGGAUUACGUUUAUUGAUUUGCAUAUGUUGAACCAGCCUUGCAUCCCAGGGAUGAAGCCCACUUGAUCAUGGUGGAUAAGCUGUUUGAUGCGCUGCUGGAUUCAGUCUGCCAGUAUUUUAUUGAGGAUUUUUGCAUCGAUGUUCAUCAGGGAUAUUGGUCUAAAAUUCUCUUUUUUUGUUGUGUCUCUGCCAGGCUCUGUUAUCAGGAUGAUGUUGGCCUCAUAAAAUGAGUUAGGGAGGAUUCUCUCUUUUCUAUUGAUUGGAAUAGUUUCAGAAGGAAUGGUACCAACUCCUUGUACCUCUGGUAGAAUUCAGCUGUGAAUCCGUCUGGUCCUGGACUUUUU